rnacentral:rRNA from 1 species
CACUCCUGCGGGAGGCAGCAGUGGGGAAUAUUGCACAAUGGGCGCAAGCCUGAUGCAGCCAUGCCGCGUGUAUGAAGAAGGCCUUCGGGUUGUAAAGUACUUUCAGCGGGGAGGAAGGCGAUAAGGUUAAUAACCUUGUCGAUUGACGUUACCCGCAGAAGAAGCACCGGCUAACUCCGUGCCAGCAGCCGCGGUAAUACGGAGGGUGCAAGCGUUAAUCGGAAUUACUGGGCGUAAAGCGCACGCAGGCGGUCUGUCAAGUCGGAUGUGAAAUCCCCAGGCUCAACCUGGGAACUGCAUUCGAAACUGGCAGGCUAGAGUCUUGUAGAGGGGGGUAGAAUUCCAGGUGUAGCGGUGAAAUGCGUAGAGAUCUGGAGGAAUACCGGUGGCGAAGGCGGCCCCCUGGACAAAGACUGACGCUCAGGUGCGAAAGCGUGGGGAGCAAACAGGAUUAGAUACCCCAGUAGUCCCAUGAU